AUACGGAGGAUCCGAGCGUUAUCCGGAUUUAUUGGGUUUAAAGGGUGCGCAGGCGGCCAUUUAAGUCAGCGGUUAAAUCGUGGGGCUCAACCCCAUUCUGCCGUUGAUACUGGGUGGCUUGAUUGCGGUCGAGGUUGGCGGAAUUCGUUGUGGAGCGGGGAAAUGCAUAGAUAUGCUGAAGAACACCGAUUGCGUAGGCAGCUGACCAGACCGCAAAUGACGCUCAUGCACGAAAGUGCGGGGAUCGAACAGGAUUAGAUACCCUGGUAGUCCGCACAGUAAACGAUGAAUACUUGAUUUCGGCGAUAUAAUGUCGGAGGCAAAGCGAAAGCGAUAAGUAUUCCACCUGGGGAGUACGCCGGCAACGGUGAAACUCAAAUGAAUUGACGGGG
rnacentral:rRNA from 1 species